GGGGACCUGGAAGGAUUGCCGUUGCUGGCUUGGGUGGCUAGGGCUUAUAUCCCUGUGUUAACCCCUCUCCUUUCUUUCUUUUUGUCCAUUGAGAGUGGUUCUUUUUUCAGUCCUCCCUUGGAGUGGUUAAUUUUGAAUCCUUCACUCCAUUGGUUAAGAACUCAAAACCCUGAGUCACAGGGGUCUUUUGUGAAAGUCCCCGAACCAGCCCAGGAAGUCCCACCAACUCCACCCCUCAAUGCCAAUCUACUGAGCAAGAGAUGAAUACAUAAUUGACUAGUCCCCUACCUGCUUCUUUUGCCUUGUAACAUGUGGAUUACCAUACCCUCCUUUUUUUUUAAACUCCAGCCAAAUUUUUCUGGUUAAAUAUCAAAGCCUUCCAAAAUCAUCUUUGGAGAAAGACACAGACCAUUUUUGUGAUUCCAUGUUUUUUUUUUUUUCUUCUGGGCAUGUCCUUAAACCUGGCAAAAUAAAUCUUUAAACUGGAUUGAGACCUGUCUCUGUUACCUUUUGGUUUACAAUGGAGCUAAUAUUGAGCCACAUAUAUUACGUAUAUGUGGCUUUCCAAAGGAGUUGCUGGAAACCGAAGCUGAGGUAACAGCAGGGGCUCAUUGAAGCCCCACCAAGUUCGAGCUUCUCCUCAGGUGGAACUGGAAAGACAAGAAAAGAUCCCCAGCUGUUCCAGCCAGCUCCUCCUUAUCUCAGGAUAUUUCAUCCCCAGCAUGUUCUUCAGUUAUUCUUGAGAACUACAAGCUAGAAAGAGGGGAGAGCUAGGUAAGUCUAAGACCUGCUAGAGAACUGUCCUUCUAAUAUUAUUUAAGCAACUGAAGUGUAUUUUUACUUUUUAAAUAUUUUAAUCUUGCUGUAUACUUCACAAGUGGAACUAUGUUAAACUAAAAAGACAUCUUCCCAGCAAGGGAAACAAUCAACAGAGUGAAAAGACAACCUGAAGAAUGGGAGAACGUAUUUGCACACUAUUCAU
rnacentral:lncRNA from 1 species